ACGUACACUCCUGCGGGAGGCAGCAGUGAGGAAUAUUGGACAAUGGGUGGAAGCCUGAUCCAGCCAUCCCGCGUGCAGGAAGACGGCCCUAUGGGUUGUAAACUGCUUUUAUCUGGGGAUAAACCUACUUACGUGUAAGUAGCUGAAGGUACCAGAAGAAUAAGCACCGGCUAACUCCGUGCCAGCAGCCGCGGUAAUACGGAGGGUGCAAGCGUUAUCCGGAUUUAUUGGGUUUAAAGGGUCCGUAGGCGGACUGAUAAGUCAGUGGUGAAAUCCGACAGCUUAACUGUCGAACUGCCAUUGAUACUGUUAGUCUUGAGUAAGGUUGAAGUGGCUGGAAUAAGUAGUGUAGCGGUGAAAUGCAUAGAUAUUACUUAGAACACCAAUUGCGAAGGCAGGUCACUAAGUCUUAACUGACGCUGAUGGACGAAAGCGUGGGGAGCGAACAGGAUUAGAAACCCCAGUAGUCCCAUGA
rnacentral:rRNA from 1 species